CUUGCGCCCCGACCUGAGUGGAGCUCUUUUUCUGUUAUUGCGACUUUACAAAAUUUCUACAGAUUGUUUCAUGUUGUUCGCAAUGACAGAAAAAAGCGGGAACGGAGAGCGGAUAAAGGC
rnacentral:sRNA from 1 species